GUGGAGUGAUCUGUCUGCUUAAUUGCGUUUCACUAAGGGCCCGUAAAUUCAAGGUAUGUUAGCAAAUGCUGCUCUAUUGACCCCUAAUAGGCUUAACUGUCUUUAGCGCGUGUCUCUACGAGUUCUUUAAAGCACUGCGCAUGCUGUUGGGUCCUGAAAGCAACGAACGUGACCGCAACGUCUUGUUGCCUCUCUAUAAUAUCUUCUUAUUUUUAAUAAGAGUAUUUACCUGAGGCUAUUUUAAAACUAGACGGACCGCUGUUUCUUUCUUAAACCAGAGGAAGGUUGCGGCAAUAACAGGUCUGUGAUGCCCCUAGAUGUUCCGGGCUGCACACGUGCUACAAUGAUCAGUACAGUGAGCAUCUCAAUUUUAUAACACCGUAUUAAGCGCUUGGGUCGUAAUUGUUAGGCCUUCUGGGUUUUUUCAAUUGCGUUUCUCCAAUGCGCACGGUAAAGCCUGCUUCGAGAGUAAGUGGGUAAUCCAUUGGAAGUAAUGAUUUCCUUAUUUUUAUAAACAGCAUACCAAUAUACGGCAUUCAUUCCCGAGACGGCUUAGUUCCGACUUUGUGCGAAUGUAAUGUAUUCUUAUCCGUAUGUGCGAUUGUCAAUUCAUGGUGGGGACAGACCAUUGUUAAUUGUUGGUCUCGGUCUUAA
rnacentral:rRNA from 1 species